CUCGAAAAGAGCAAAGCUAACAAGUGAAUCUUCAUCACUCAAUAUAAUUGUUUCUACUUUUGAUGACUUACAAAUAUGUGUGUUGUAAUAGGAAUUGAAUGAGGUUGGCCACAAGUGGUGCAAACUUUGCACGGGCAUAUACAGUUCAAUUCGGCACCUGCAAGUUCCCGUAGAACUUCACCGGCUGCCAAGCAGAAGAAAGUGCCAUUUUUAUCCGAGGAUUUGGCUUUGGAGUGCGAAGGAAAGGACAAGUGUGGUUCCAAUGUGUUCUGGAAAUGGUGAAGUGCGAAAGCUGCUUGUGUGUGUCAAUGUGUCAAUCAUAUUCUCCCCAUCAUGUAUUUAAUUUCCAUUAAGACUUGUACUCUAUUUGUUCUCUCAUCUUUUCUCUGUUUCUAAGUUUUUUUGCUUGAUCCAUCCUUGUUCUACACCUAGUAAUUCUUGGGAAAUUAUGGACAGAAUGUGCCCAGAAUUUUGAUCUCACAUAAAAA